UUCUAGAGCUAAUACACGCAUUCAAGCUCUGACCUUACGGGAUGAGCGCAUUUAUUAGAACAAAACCAAUCGGGCUUCGGCCCGUACUUGGUGACUCUGAAUAACUACGCUGAUCGCAUGGUCUCGAACCGGCGACAAUUCCUUCAAGUGUCUGCCUUAUCAACUGUCGAUGGUAGUUUAUGUGCCUACCAUGGUUGUAA
rnacentral:rRNA from 1 species